rnacentral:rRNA from 1 species
CCUACGGGAGGCAGCAGUGAGGAAUAUUGGUCAAUGGACGAGAGUCUGAACCAGCCAAGUAGCGUGAAGGAUGACUGCCCUAUGGGUUGUAAACUUCUUUUAUAUGGGAAUAAAAUGUUCCACGUGUGGGAUUUUGUCUGUACCAUAUGAAUACGGAUCGGCUAACUCCGGGGCAGCAGCCGCGGUCAUACGGAGGAUCCGAGCGUUAUCCGGAUUUAUUGGGUUUAAAGGGAGCGUAGGUGGAUUGUUAAGUCAGUUGUGAAAGUUUGCGGCUCAACCGUAAAAUUGCAGUUGAAACUGGCAGUCUUGAGUACAUGAGAGGUGGGCGGAAUUCGUGGUGUAGCGGUGAAAUGCUUAGAUAUCACGAAGAACUCCGAUUGCGAAGGCAGCUCACUGGACUGCAACUGACACUGAGGCUCGAAAGUGUGGGUAUCAAACAGGAUUAGAUACCCGUGUAGUC